rnacentral:rRNA from 1 species
UGGGGAAUAUUGGACAAUGGGCGCAAGCCUGAUCCAGCCAUGCCGCGUGAGUGAUGAAGGCCUUAGGGUUGUAAAGCUCUUUUAGCGGGGAAGACAAUGACGGUACCCGCAGAAAAAGCCCCGGCUAACUUCGUGCCAGCAGCCGCGGUAAUACGAAGGGGGCUAGCGUUGCUCGGAAUUACUGGGCGUAAAGCGCACGUAGGCGGACUCUUAAGUCGGUGGUGAAAUCCUGGAGCUCAACUCCAGAACUGCCUUCGAUACUGGGAGUCUUGAGUUCGGGAGAGGUGAGUGGAACUGCGAGUGUAGAGGUGAAAUUCGUAGAUAUUCGCAAGAACACCAGUGGCGAAGGCGGCUCACUGGCCCGAUACUGACGCUGAGGUGCGAAAGCGUGGGGAGCAAACA